AACGCACAUUGCGCCCCUUGGUAUUCCGAGGGGCAUGCCUGUUCGAGCGUCAUUACACCACUCAAGCUAUGCUUGGUAUUGGGCGUCGUCCUUAGUUGGGCGCGCCUCAAAGACCUCGGCGAGGCCACUCCGGCUUUAGGCGUAGUAGAAUUUAUUCGAACGUCUGUCAAAGGAGAGGAACUCUGCCGACUGAAACCUUUAUUUUUCUAGGUUGACCUCGGAUCAGGUAGGGAUACCCGCUGAACUUAA
rnacentral:misc_RNA from 1 species